AUCUUGGUUAGUGUCUGGCCUGGUACAGGUUCCUUCCUCUGUAAACCUAAUUUGUCGAAGGCCGAGCACAGAGCUUCGUCUUCUCUUUCUUCGUUCGGAUGUAACGUUGUUAGUUAAAGUUUCGUGAUCAAUCCUGGCUUUCGCUCCCCCUCUAUGUCCUUUUAAUGCUUCGUUCGAACUGGAAGUCGGCGAUAUCUGCAUAUAAAUAUGGGCCGGCAAGUGCUCCUCCGCCGUAGAGGCCAGACUUUUGAGGUUUUGGGAGGCAACGUGAAGCGGCGAGCUUAUGUGGGUCGACACGCUGAUGGUGGACGUCAACAUAAGAGCAAUGGUCUCUACACCCUUCAUCGGCAGCUCAUAAGGGAGAAGGAGGGAUACUUUGCAAAGCGAACGUGAGGGACUUUACCUUCAACGAACUCAUACUGCAACCAGAAACUUUAUAGAACAAACUCUGUUGUCUGACAAGGCGGUUUCUGUUCUGACUAUAGAGGAUGGAUUAAUUAGACUACUCUAGAUCUAGCUAAAUCUAGCAUUGUAUUGUAGUUGUUGUCAAGCGUCUUAACCCUGAUGGAUUUCAAGGUCACCGAGAAUGGUCGGACAGAGAUCAAAUACUUGGGACAGUUAAAUCACCCUAACUUAGUUAAAUUGGUUGGUUAUUUCUUGGAAGAUCAAGCUUCUUUUCUACGAUGAUAUGAAUAACGAUUAUGUGCAGUUUAAGACGCUCUCUUGGACCAUAUGGGUUAAGUUUGCUCUGAUGCAGCUAAAGAGCUUGCAUUUUUUCAUAGUGACCCUGUUAAAGUCAUAUACCCAGACAUCAAGGCUUUGAACAUCUUGCUCGACUCGAUUACAACGGAAAGCUUUCAGACUUUGGUUUAGCGAGGGACGGUCCAAUGGAAGAAAGAAGAACACAACGAUGGAGAGCUUGAAGUUUUUGGUGUUAUCACCAUACAUAAGGGAUCUUGCUUCUUUAGUGGUCGCAUAUGGUGUAAUAGUGGAAGUCACUUCAAUGAUUUUGUGAGUUAUCGUCACUGCGUGGUUAGCUGCAGCUAAGUCACUCGAGGGACUGUUCAAUGCUUUGCGAUCUGAAGAAGGGUCGAGAAGGAAAUGGAGAGAGCUUCGUCGGUCAAGAUCCCAGUUGUAUCUCAAGAUGAAGGUUCUCUAGGAGAGUCUUCAAGCAGUUCACCUGAGAAACCUGCUCCCACCAACAUAUAGAAGGGGGCUUUUAUUAUUUGUUUCUUUUUAAGGAAAGGAAUAAAGGAAGAUUUCAUCAAAAAAUAAGAUUUUGAGAGCAAGAAAAGAAGGCAAAUCUCUCAAACAAUCUCUCUUUUGCACCACCACCUACCACUCUUUUUUAGUUUGUAGUUUUUAAAACAUUCUUUUAAGUUCAAUUUGAUCUUAAUUUUUAAGUUACUUCCAUGGUAAACUUGUGUUAUGUAUUGUUUGAAAUCAUAACAUUUAAUAAGCUAAGAUUCAG